GAUGAACGCUGGCGGCGUGCCUAAUACAUGCAAGUCGAGCGAAGCGGGGACGGGUGAGUAACACGUGGAUAACCUCCUAUAAGACGGGGAUAAAUUCGGGAAACAGGAGCUAAACGGGAUGCUUCUAGAAGGAUCCUCGCUGCAGUAGCUAGUUGGUAAGGUAACGGCUGACCAAGGCAACGAUGCCUAGCCGACCUGAGAGGAUGAUCGGCCACACGCGAACUGAGACACGGUCCAGACUCCUACGGGAGGCAGCAGUAGGGAAUCUUCCGCAAUGGGCGAAAGCCUGACGGAGCAACGCCGCGUGAGUGAUGAAGGUCUUCGGAUCGUAAAACUCUGUUAUUAGGGAAGCGGUACCUAAUCAGAAAGCCACGGCUAACUACGUGCCAGCAGCCGCGGUAAUUC
rnacentral:rRNA from 1 species